CCUACUUUCAGCAUAUACAUCAUCUGUAUACUCUGCCACUGGCAGCACAGAUUCCUCACACUCACAGCACAUAAGAAAGUAACUGAAAGCAAACAAAACACAUGGUUCUUCUGAUUUUUUAUUCCUCACUGUCACAGAAGAGGAUGUGGCCCUUUUGAUUUCACAUGGUUGUAUUGCAGCAUGAAUAGCUACAGGUCUAAUUAAUCACAUCAUUUAGGUACUGAUGCAGAGCAAAGACUGAAUACUGCUUAGCAGAGUACAUAAGAAAGAAAGCCAAGCCAGCGAGGGGAAUCAGGACGGCAGUACCUUCACGAUGCUGUCGACGGUGCCGCGGUGGUCGGGGAAGUUCUCGACGGCCGCCGUAUUAGGAAGGUCUGCGCCUGCGCGGCGAGCAGCAUGUAGAGGCAGACUAGCGGGAUCGGGGCCGGCGCGGCCACGGAGACGGCGAGCUAGCAACAUGGGAAGGUACCCGGGAGCGCAGAGCGCGGCGCCGGCGAGGAGGACGAUGCAGGGGCGUCAGAGGCCCCCGGGGUCCUACGCGGAGAGGAAGCAGUAGCUGCCCCCUGCGAAGCUGGAUUAGCGCGCUCGCCGCCAGCGCCGACCACCGGCCCACCGCGUCCCUCGCCCCGCCGGAACAGAGGAGGAAAAAACAAAGCUUAUUUU
rnacentral:rRNA from 1 species